rnacentral:snRNA from 1 species
AGCUUUGUGCAGUGGCAGCAUCUUAGCUAAUGAGGUUUAUCCGAGGUGUGAUUAUUGCUAAUUGAAACAUUCUUCCUGCAAAGUAGAAAAGGAAAACCAGGGCACAAUUCAUAUGUACUACUUACUGCUAUUACAAAUUAAAUAUUUGCUCUGGCUUUUUUUUC